rnacentral:rRNA from 1 species
UUCGGGGUGACGAAGAGUGGAAUGAGCGGCGGACGGGUGAGUAACACGUGGGCAACCUACCUGUAAGAUCGGGAUAACUCGCGGAAACGUGAGCUAAUACCGGAUAACACUUUUUACCUCAUGGUGAGAAGAUGAAAGGCGGCGCAAGCUGUCACUUACAGAUGGGCCCGCGGCGCAUUAGCUAGUUGGUGGGGUAAUGGCUCACCAAGGCAACGAUGCGUAGCCGACCUGAGAGGGUGAUCGGCCACACUGGGACUGAGACACGGCCCAGACUCCUACGGGAGGCAGCAGUAGGGAAUCUUCCGCAAUGGACGAAAGUCUGACGGAGCAACGCCGCGUGAGUGAUGAAGGUUUUCGGAUCGUAAAACUCUGUUGUUAGGGAAGAACAAGUAUGAUAGUAACUGAUCAUACCUUGACGGUACCUAACCAGAAAGCCACGGCUAACUACGUGCCAGCAGCCGCGGUAAUACGUAGGUGGCAAGCGUUGUCCGGAAUUAUUGGGCGUAAAGCGCUCGCAGGCGGUCUUUUAAGUCUGAUGUGAAAUCUCGUGGCUUAACCACGAACGGUCAUUGGAAACUGGAGGACUUGAGUACAGAAGAGGAGAGUGGAAUUCCACGUGUAGCGGUGAAAUGCGUAGAGAUGUGGAGGAACACCAGUGGCGAAGGCGACUCUCUGGUCUGUAACUGACGCUGA